UACGAAGGGUGCAAGCGUUAAUCGGAAUUACUGGGCGUAAAGCGUGCGUAGGCGGUCUUUUAAGUCCGUUGUGAAAGCCCUGGGCUCAACCUGGGAAUGGCAGUGGAUACUGAGAGGCUGGAGUGCGGUAGAGGAGGGUGGAAUUCCCGGUGUAGCGGUGAAAUGCGUAGAGAUCGGGAGGAACAUCAGUGGCGAAGGCGGCCCUCUGGACCAGCACUGACGCUGAGGCACGAAAGCGUGGGGAGCAAACAGG
rnacentral:rRNA from 1 species